GAUGAAACUUGGGUGGGACUCGAAAACGGGGUUUAAUCGGAAUAUAACGUCAUGGAAAUCGCCAUUUGAUCCUUCUCCGGGUAAUUAUACGUUUAAACUUGAUGUUAAUGGUUUGCCUGAAGCUUAUUUGACAAACAGAGAUACAAUUUUCUAUAGAAGUGGACCUUGGAAUGGUGUUGGAUUUAGUGGUGUACCAGAAAUGAAGCCAACAGAUAUUAUAGUUUUCGAGUUUCAGAUGAAUAAGGAUGAAGUUUACUACACUUUUGAGGUAUGUUCGUCUCUUCACGUAUGAGUCUGAUUCUUUUUUAGUAAUGACAGGUAGCGUUAUGUUGAGUCUCAUGCUAGUGGUGGGAUCGAGGCAAUCUUCACUUCAUGAACAAGUGUCGAAAGAAUCAAAACGUGGAGGCUUGUGGAUUAGGUGUCAAAAAAAAUAAAUACUUAUCUCCCUUUCCAUUUUCCUAACAAACAAUUUUUUUAAAAAAUAAAUCUUUAUAGACAACAAGAAGUACUACUACAUAAGCUAACAAAUACCCCAUUUUUUGAAGUCAACAAUGACAAACAUUAACACCAAAAAACACAUUUUUCAUCUAUGUUCUUGCUUCUACUUUCUUCUAAUUUCACAAAUCCUCGCAAUAGCAGCAACAACAACAGAUAAUACGAUAACGAUUACAAAUCCCCUUACGAUAUCGAAAACUUUAGUCUCUCAACAAAAAAAAUUCGAAUUAGGAUUUUUCACUCCUGGUGGUCCGAAUUCAGACAAAUGGUACGUCGGAAUAUGGUACAAAGAAAUCAAAGAAACGACGAUAGUUUGGGUUGCGAACAGAGAAAACCCCGUCACCAAUUCAUCGUCUCCCCCUGUGUUAAAAAUAACACAAGAUGGACGUCUUGUUAUUGAUAAUAGAGAUGGAAAUUAUACGUUGUCAUUAAAUUCCGCGAAUAAUAAUACUACAUUUAUCGCUAAGUUAUUGGAUUCAGGUAAUUUCGUCGUUCUAACAGAGAAAGACGAAAUUAUGGUGUGGCAGAGUUUUGAUUAUCCAACGGAUACUCUGUUACCCGGGAUGAAACUUGGGUGGGACUCGAAAACGGGGUUUAAUCGGAAUAUAACGUCAUGGAAAUCGCCAUUUGAUCCUUCUCCGGGUAAUUAUACGUUUAAACUUGAUGUUAAUGGUUUGCCUGAAGCUUAUUUGACAAACAGAGAUACAAUUUUCUAUAGAAGUGGACCUUGGAAUGGUGUUGGAUUUAGUGGUGUACCAGAAAUGAAGCCAACAGAUAUUAUAGUUUUCGAGUUUCAGAUGAAUAAGGAUGAAGUUUACUACA
rnacentral:lncRNA from 1 species